rnacentral:tRNA from 1 species
GGGCGGUUAGCUCAGUUGGGAGAGCGUCUCGCUUACACCGAGAAGGUCACUGGUUCGAGCCCAGUACCGCCCA